CCCAGCUCUAAGUCAGCUGACCAGGCAGUCUGUGUCUGGCUCAGUGUUACAGUGCUGGUAGAUGAAGCCUCUGGACGUGGUCUCAGCUGUGCAGGCUCUGUUUUAGAGUCUGCUGCUUCAGAGAUGCUGCAGAGCGCGGCCCGACGAGAGUGGCCUGUCCUGGACAACAGCAGGGCAGGCCUAGUGCAGGGCCGCACAUU